CAAUUACUCUUUGAUCUCUGAAAUGAAAAAUAAGGCAGCAAUUAGGACAUUUCCACAACUCGUUUUUCAUGGAGACAACUCCUAUUGACAAGGAGAAAAGGAUCAUGCAUGGAAAAGGCUCCAGAAGCCUGGCUCAAGGAGUUGUCUCAGUCUACAGGCAGAAGGAGGCUGGUCUCCACCAGUCCAAGGGUGCAAAUGGAGCCCAAGAACACCGACCUCCUUUAUGAAUCAACUCACUGACGAAUUCAUAGAAGAGUGGGCUGUCAGGAGGUCG